CUGUCCCCCGCCUGUGGACCACGACCCGCCACGCCCCCAACUGUGGGCCACGCCCCACCCAGUGGCCCCGUCCAGACCCCGCCCACCUCAGGCCGUACGUAGUCAAGGCCCCGCCAAGUGCUUCCGCCCCUCUGCUGGUCCAGACUGGGACAAUCACCGGACCAUUGUACUCGGAUUUUGGGAGAAUGAUCAUGCAACAAUCCUCAGAAGCUCCUCACAGCCUUAGGCAUUUCCUGUCCAGCUGGAGGAUAAGACCCUCAUAAGAAGAGGUGAUUACUCAACGGUCCUCAAUACAAGCCAUCUCUUUGCUCCUCUGCCAUGAGAUGACACAGCAAGAAGGCCCUUGCCAGAUACCAACCCCUUGAUCUUGGACUUCCCAGCUCCCGGAAGUGUGAGUCAAUAAAUUUCUG